rnacentral:ncRNA from 1 species
GAGAUAGAGGCGCGUUUUCCAUCAGUAGCGUGUCCGGGAAGCCUGCGGCGGCUGUUAUGACCGGACGUGAAAGGGGCGGACGCCGAAGACAGGACGGGGCCGUUUCCGCCGUGUCUGGAUUUGCGGUUAAAAGCCGCAGGUCUGUCACCAGUUUGGUGGAGUGCUAUCUG